ACUCCUACGGGAGGCAGCAGUGGGGAAUAUUGCACAAUGGGCGCAAGCCUGAUGCAGCCAUGCCGCGUGUGUGAAGAAGGCCUUCGGGUUGUAAAGCACUUUCAGCAGUGAGGAAGGCGGAGUCGUUAAUAGCGGCCUCGUUUGACGUUAGCUGCAGAAGAAGCACCGGCUAACUCCGUGCCAGCAGCCGCGGUAAUACGGAGGGUGCGAGCGUUAAUCGGAAUUACUGGGCGUAAAGCGCAUGCAGGUGGUUUGUUAAGUCAGAUGUGAAAGCCCGGGGCUCAACCUCGGAAUAGCAUUUGAAACUGGCAGACUAGAGUACUGUAGAGGGGGGUAGAAUUUCAGGUGUAGCGGUGAAAUGCGUAGAGAUCUGAAGGAAUACCGGUGGCGAAGGCGGCCCCCUGGACAGAUACUGACACUCAGAUGCGAAAGCGUGGGGGAGCAAACAGGAUUAGAUACCCUGGUAGGAUAGCG
rnacentral:rRNA from 1 species